AAGUCGCUUAACGAGCGAAACCCUUGUCUCUAGUUGCCAGCGCGUAAUGGCGGGGACUCUAGAGAGACCGCCGGCGUUAAGCCGGAGGAAGUGGGGAUGACGUCAAGUCCUCAUGGCCCUUAUGACUAGGGCUGCACACGUCCUACAAUGGAACGCACAAAGGGAAGCGAAACCGCGAGGUCAAGCAAAUCCCAAAAAUCGUUCCCUAGUUCGGAUUGCAGGCUGCAACUCGCCUGCAUGAAGCUGGAAUCGCUAGUAAUCGCGGGUCAGCAUACCGCGGUGAAUGUGUUCCUGAGCCUU
rnacentral:rRNA from 1 species